rnacentral:lncRNA from 1 species
AUCAACCUGUGGUUGAGUUGGUUAGGUGGACAGUGGUAUCCCCAACCCACUAGGGUUCAAAUCCUGGUGCUCGCAUUAUUUCUGGAUUUAUUUCAGUAUUUCCGGCGAUGCGCUUUCAGUGGGAGGAGACGUUCCCGUCGACGACGAGGCGCCUACGGUGACUUCGUAAAUCUCAAGAUGAUAUGCCGGCUCAGUCUCUCGGAGGUGCUCAUAGGGGUAGGGUGUGCGUGUGUGCGUUCAUAGGGAUGAGUGUAUGCGCGUGUAUAUGAGCGCUUGUGUCUGUACUGAUGCUAAAAAAAAAGUUCUUCCUUGCUGGUGAAGUUUGGGCAGCGAACAGUGUGGCGGAUCCAGGAUUGAAGCAAGCCUCGGGUCAAAAAAAAAAUUGACGCGAGAGAAAAACUUAACGUCCAUCAAGCUAUAGCUACCUUAAAUAUGGCUCAAUUCCACUAAAAAUUUAGAAUUUAAACUCAUCGCUUAGAGAUACAACAAAAUAGAUAAAAAAAAUACCAAAUCAAUGGCUUGCUUCAUCAGUGUCUUCUAUAACUUGAUCAACGGUGGAAGAAGAGGCAACACCUUAGAGAAAAUCAAAAGUAAACUUUCAUAAGAGAAGACAUAAAUAUCAAGUGAAACAACUAACAUUAUACAAAGUUGAAAACUUAGUACUACAAGGAGGUAGACACUUCUGUUGCGGCCACGGAUGAAAAAUAUCUCUUCAUCUUUUAUUUCUACAAAACGAAAUGAAAUUGAUAUUAACAGUGGCAACAACAACAUUCAAAUUCGAAUACAAUUCAAGUGAAAUUGAAUGUUUGACAGCAACAGUGAACCAUAAGCAGUACUGUAGUACAGUAGUAGCAAAUCCAAACAUUACGGGCGGUCUAGCAGAUAAAAAAUGUUCAGAAAACAGCAAGUUAUAGUCUUGGUGUGCCCAGCCACUUACCAAUCCUGGGAUGCAGAGACCAGUCCAGCGCGUGGCGGAGAGCAGGAGCCAGCAGAGCGGGGAGACGAUGAGCUGGGCUGCGCGAGCGGUAGAGCAGGGCAGCAGGCGAGCAGGGGAUGGCCAAACGGCGGGACGGGCGACGACGCGAGCAGUGGAGUAGGCCAGGCGGAUGAGCGGCGGAGGGCAGGGGCGCUGUCGGACUCGGUCUGUCCAAAUGAGGGGCAGGGGCGCGGCCGAGCGGCGGAGUCACCGACGGCCGUCACGAGCGGCGGAGGGCGCAGGCGAGCAGGGGACGGGGAGUCGGGGCGUGCUAGGUCUGCGCGUCGGGGGCAAGCUGGUCUGCGUCGUGCGCCCUGCGUGAGUGUGAAGAUCGAUAGCCUGGGCCCUGGCCGUGUUUUGGGCUAAGCCCCAUGCCCAAUUAGAAAACAUGGCUAGGUAAUAACUAAAAAAAGCCACGCUCUGAGCCUGGGCCUGGGCCCAGAUCCGCCCUGGUAGCGAAGAUGAUGGGAAUAAUGGUACCUCAACUUUUUCCAUGUUGAUGUCCUUUCGCGGAGUGGUGAUGGCGAGCGGAGGAUGGUGUUGAUCAUCGGGGCUUAGUUUGGUGUGGCAAGGGUGACUCGGAGGAUGGUGUCGGUCAUCAGCGCUCGCCCCGGCAUGGCAACAUCAUGCUGUGGAGGGGAAGACGUUGUGGCGUGUUUUUGUUCUCUAAUUUCAUCUCAAUCAAAUACAGCUCCGUAAGAGAACUUGUAAGAUUUUUCUCUGUCUAGUUGGAAUUAUCUACUGGCCCUCUCGAGGAUAGUGAUUUAUUCGGGAGGGGGCUAGUCCCACUGAAAGCGCAUCAUCAAAAAUCAUAAAAUAAAUUCAGGAAUAGUACGAGCACCAGAACUUGAAUCCUGAUGGGCUGAAAAUACCACUGUCCCUCGAACCAUCCAACCACAUGUUAGUUCGCAAACUUCAUAUAUGUUGUUUCUACAAUCUCUUGGUUUCAACAUGGUUGCUCGGAUAGUUUUCUUCUUCCAACAAACAGUUGCUCUGAUAAAAUAUACCGGAAGGCAACAAUAAGCUUCGCUCACAUUGGUCACCGAUACAUGCAACAUGAAAAUGGUUGUGAUUUCACCAUUGAGAUGACUGUCAUUUCUUAUUCUUAAAAGAAAAUUGUAGUAUAAAGGCUAGUUUUAUUUAACUAUGGCCUUUAAGAAAAAUGUACUAGUACACAUUUUGUUCCUAAAUAGAGGUAGUAUCAAGAUCCCGACUGUCGUGAAAUUUUCACGGCAGAUGUCCUUAGUAUGAGGACUUAGUCGCGAGACCAACGCAUCUAUGUGGUAGCUUGAGAGGGGUUGGACGGAAUCAAGAGACGCAACAUGAGACAAGGGUUUACACAGCUUCGGGCCCUGGGAAACAUCAUCCGAUAAUAACCCUACAUGCGGUUUGUGGCUAGGUCUCAUUAUGAUCAUGAGGGAGUUGCCGGUAAGACGGAUCUUUUUGUCUAGCCCUAGAGAUUGUUUCUUCUUGCCUCUCUCCUCUUGGGGUGUUCUGCCCCUCCUUAUAUAAGUUGGAGGGACGGGUUACAUGUGGAGUCCUACUAGGAUUAGGACUAGUCUAUUACAAGUGGAGAUUUAGUCUUGCUUCCUUUGUAAGGGAAUAUUCAUUAUGCUUUUCUCUUAAGCCGGCCCACCAGAGUAUAAGCCGGCCUGCUGGGCCUUGGGCCUUGUCGUUCGUCUAAUCCGCCCGCCGAGCCUCCAGUGAGUCACAAUGUCCAGGCGGGUUACAUGUAAACCGCCAUGUCCGGACGGAUCGCCAGUGAGUCACCAAGCUUCAGCCGGGUCUCUGGUGAGUCGCCAAGUCCGAUCGGGUCAUAAUUCCAGCCGGGUCAUACCGCGGGGUAUAUCCCCGACAUUAGCCCCCGGUUUAGUUUGGAUUUAUCCUGUUAAACUGAUCCUGCAAAAUAAACAUCAGAACAACUUUGAUAGGUUGUGGUCCGGUUAAAAAAUUCUUGUAAGCCGGAACCUGAUCAUCUUUAAGUCCCUGUCAUUUCCUUCUUCAUACACGCCCAUGAGUUCAUAACAAAUCUCCUUAGCAGAUAUGUUUCAACUUUGUCAAUGCAAAAAAUCCAGAUACUUCUUUUGAAAAAUUCGGGUCAACAGGCCAGCUUCAGAAUCAAUUUGCUGACAUUGGUCUCUUGUAAAGAAAUAUUGUAAGAAAUAAUCCACUUGAGUCGGCCUUCAAUGCUCUGAUUUGACAAAAAUAUUGGUCUUAAAAUAUUCAACUGAUAUUCAGCCGGCUUAAAGAUGUAUAUCUUGUCGAUUUAUGAUUGCCAAAUUUGCCAGUUUAUAAAUAAAUGAUGCCGAGUCAUAAUUGUUGCUGAUGCCGGGUCAUAGUUAUUGGUGACGCCGGGUUAUAAUUAUUGGUGACGCAGGGUCAUGAUUGUUGCAGACACCGAGUUAAUCUGGUCUGCUCCAAACUGAGAAUUUUGAAGAUUUUUUUCUCCCUUGUAUGUAUAUCACCUAUAGCCCCCAAGUGCCGGGUUGUCAUGCUUGCAACAACCUGGGACUUGUAAUUGCCUUAUGCUCAUGAAAACUUCAACCAGUGUAGCCCCCAAGGGCCGAGUCAUUAUGCAAUAAUGAGCAGGGACUUUGUAGAUAUAACCAUGCAAACUUGAAAAGCAACGUGUAGCCCCCAAGGGCCAGGUCAGAAGAUAAUACUGAGCUGGGACUUUGUAUGUAAUUUAUUGAUAAUAACAUCAUAUAAUAUAAUCUCCACCAUGGGGCUUGAAUCCACGUCCACAAGGUUAAGAGCUUUGUACUCUACCAACUAAGUAGUAGACAUUUCAAUAUAAUGGAUUAAUACUUGUGUACCUUAAAUUUUUGACAGGAGCAAUUGAUAGCCCCAAGGGCCGGCUCAUUACAAUGGGAUGAGUCGGGUCUUUAAUAAGUUGAUCAAAAAAUGACUUUACAUUAGCCCCCAAGUGGCAUGGUGCAUGCUGGCAGUAACAUGGGACUUGCAUAUUUGAUAUGAUCUUAAUCUGAAUAAUGUAGCCCCCAAGUGCCGGGCCAUAAGCCUGCAGCGACUCGGGACUAUUCCUUCCAUUGCAGAAUAAAUCAUAUCCAUUGGUAAAGAAAUAAUAGCCAUUGCGCUGAAGCGACUUUGAAGACCUCAAUCAUAAUACUGUUUAUUGAUAACCAUAAUAAAAAUCUAGUCAUGUUGGAUAUUCAAAAUUUGGAUAAUAUAAUCUGGUAUGAAAGCCUCAAUCAUUCAAUAUCAUCAUGAAAAUCCAGCCAAGUUUGACUAUUAGAAAUUCGAAUACCUUACCGGUUGCCAAGUAGAUCCGAAGUUUAAAUACUCGGUGGCUCUUGGCCGAUGGUGACUUAAUGAGCAUUCAUUGUAAGCCGGAAUUUUUAUAACCUGGCGGUUUAUAGCCUUUGAGAAAAUCCAGAACAUAUAAUCAUUUUGAAGCAUCAGUUUUGAUAAUGAGCUUGAACUUAAUCAUUUAUAUAAGUCAUAUUUCUGUAAAUCCUACACAGAGUUUAAACAACAUAUGCCCUGGCGACUUAACGUCAAAGCUAGGGCGGGUAACAACCCAAACAUAAUAUAGUCUUUAUAAAAUUAUGGAAAACACUAGGAUUAAGGUCAUUCAAGCCUAAACAUACCGCGACUUAACGUCAAAAGCUAGUGCGGGCCAUCCAACCUCGCAUAUUUAUAUAAUCAGGAAAACAUACUUGUAGAAUUGGCUCAUACUGCCGGCUUACAUCGCCGUAUUCGAUAAGGGCAAUAAUCCAAUGAUUAAUAAGCGCAUGAUUCCAAUGGCGCAAUCCAAAAUAUACCGGCGACUUAAAGUCCAUAGCCAGGGCCGGUUUAAACAUAAUCAUGUAUAAACAAUAUCAUACUUGUGAUAUUGAAUUGUCCUGCCAGUUUAUGUGACCUGUGCAGUAAGGGUGAUAACCCGGAUUGUAGAAGCCAAUACUUCCAACUGUUUGAUGUUUGUCAUAUGCUGGCGACUUAUCGUUCAAAGUCAAGCCGGGUUAAAUAGAAACCACAUAUAUGUGCCUCAGAACAUGAACAUAGAAAAGGUCUCAAGACAAAUUCAAAGAGUGCUUUCAAAAAAGACUUAAGCAAAAAAGAAUAGAAAUACAAAUUAAGGCUUCUGAUUCAAAAACGAUCAGUAAACCAUUCCAAAGGGGUAAAGCUAGGGUUCGAAUACGACCAUGUAGCCCCCAGUGGCUUUGGCAUUGCGCCGAUCAAGAGGGUACCGACAGCUAUGUUCUCUUUGGUUCGAAUACGACCUAUGUUUGAACAGAAGCCCCCAAAUGACCUUGAGAAUAUUUAACGACUCUGAUUCGAAUACGAUCCGGGUCGGACCCAAGAGGGGUUAAGCUAUGAUUCAAAUAUGAUCAAGAAGCCCCCAAGUGGGUUUUAGCAUUGCGUCGAUCAAGUGGGUACCGACAGCUAUGUUCUCUUUGGUUUGAAUACGACCUAUGUUUGAACAGGAAGCCCCCAAGUGACCUUGAGAAUAUUUAACGAUUCUGAUUCAAAUACGAUCAGGGUCGUACCAAAAGGGGUUAAGCUAUGAUUCGAAUACGACCCAGCCCCCAAAUGAUCAAGUUGUUUGAACAACUAUGAUUCGAAUACGAUCAGGAAGCUAUGCCAAAGGAGUUAAACUAGAUUCGAAUACGAUCAACCCCCAAUGGUCUUUGAAGCAGGGUACCUAUGUUUGAGUUGUGCUUUGCAACAGACUCUCUUUGGUCCCUUUAAUUUUUCCUCACAGCUCGAGCUUUGCGAGAUAUAAAUUCUUCUUGAGCCGGAUUUUUAAACCGGAUAUUGAUAGCUUUCAAAGCUUUGCGAGAGACAGAUUUCUCUUGAACCGGAUUUUGAACGGGAAAUUUUCCGACGGCCUUUAAAAUGGCAACAUUUACUGAGCCAUGUCCCCGACACCGACCUUGCGCGCCCUGCGAUUUUUGUUCUUUUUGCGAUCCAACAAUCUGCAAUUUGCAAAAGGAAAAGAAUCUGAUAUUCGCAGAAGUGGAGUUUUUACACUAGGGCUCAAAUGUCCUGAUGUGAACAGUAAAAUAAAUAAAAUAAAAAACAUUUCAUACAAUUCUGAAUUUUGUUGUGGCACUCUAAGAAAUGUUUGUUGCCCAUGCAAAAUCUCAUCACGAAAUGAUAUUUGGUGGAAGGCGUGGUAAGAAAUAAAAUCGUUGCUCUGAAAAUGUUUCUUUCAAACGCAUUUUGAAGCCCUGAUUUUGUUUUUUGCCAUGAUUUUCGUAAAUGUGAUUUCGUGAUGAAUUUUUGCAUACACAACAGGCAUUUCUUAAAGUAUGACAUAAAAAGAAUCUUUUGAAUUUUAUUCCACUUUUUAAUUUACUGUCCAUACCAGCGUAGAAAAGUACUUUCGCAUCUAAAACAAAAGCGGAGAAAAAAAGUGACGCUUGUCUGAGCCCGGGUUCGAACUGGGGACCACUAGUGUGUGAGACUAGCGUGAUAACCAACUACACCACCCAGACAUGUUAUGAUGUGACGAACGAAUAUUUUACUUGACCAUUUCUGUUUUAGGGAAAUAUUUUACUUCGCUCUUGAUGUGCGCAGGAGACAUCGUAUUGUAUGAUCUUUGAGGAAAAAUAUCUAAAGAUUCUAGAUCGCGAGGCGGUUGGUAGUUAGCAUAAAAAACAUCACGGGCGCGUCGAGCGCCGUGCGAGUUUGUUUGUCGCGCGCGCUUAGAUUGAAUCGGAACCAUGUGCGAGGGCCAAGCAUCUUUUCAAUCAGGUCGGUAGAGUAGGGGCACUUCCGCACCCAAAAAAAAAAGAGGCGGUCAGUAGGGGCGCUGCAUGCUUUGAGAUCCGUGAUUCCGUGGCAUCGUGCUAGCUUAUAUGGGUAGUAAAACAUUGUGGGCCAUGUGGCGCGUAGCACAGUUUGGCCGGACGCGCCGCGCGGUACAGUGCACGCAAUGAUCAACGGGCCUACUCCUACUCCUAGGUAGGAGUAGUAGCAAAAGCAAAGUUCGUGCGCGAAAUGAUGCUGCGUGCAUGGCGUAGCAUACUGUGCGUUAGUGGUUGAUGCAUGCCUCCUGGCCACGUACCGUCGCGGCGCACCGUGCGAAUAAAACCAAACUCUGUGUCGACGGUGUGGGGGCUCCGGGAAAGUCACCUGGUUGAGUACAGCGCGGAGGUGGAAGGCUGCGUUUAUCUUUGUGCGGGAAAUAGGUGAGGGAAUUCCAACUCGGCAUUUAUUGUGGUGAAUUAGUGGCUUCAGUGCCGUCUCGGGGAAUAGGAGUAUUGUGAUGGAAAUACGUGCUCACAGCAAAACAGACGUGGAAGUGCGUAGUACUUGAGGAAAACGCACCAUGUCCACACAACAAGAAAACGCAACAUUCCUAAACACAAUUCUUCUCCAAACUAGACCGUAGAGAAACACAACAUUUCCGCACCAAAACCCAUAAUUUUACUACUAAUGUGGUGAACUCUUAUUAUAGAAAGAUCAUGAUAAUUGGUGCACUGUAUCAAAAACUACACUGAUCUCCCCGUAAAGAAAACUACAGUACUCCUAUCAUUGGAUUUGUCACCGAUUAGGCAGGCUACCACAUGCCACCGAUUAGGUGGAAAUGUACUCCUAUCAUUGGAUUUGUCAAUGAUAGGAGUACGUUUCCACCUAUCAUUGAAAAUGUAUUGAUCGAUUAGGUGGAAACUGCAUACACAACAGGCAGGCUACCACAUGCCACCGAUCGAGGCCGCCGCCCCGAGAUCCCGGCGCCGCCCGAGGCACCGGCUAUCAGAUCAGAAACAAAUCGACCACCGGCCACCAUAGGAGCGCCCCGAACGCCCCCUCCCCCCCCACGCGACCACCAAGGGGAUGCUGUUGGGGAACGUAGCAUGCAAUUUCAAAAAAAAUUCCUACAAUCACACAAGAUCUAUCUAGGAGAUUCAUAGCAAUGAAAGGGGGAGAUUGUGUCCACGUACCCUCGUAGACCGAAAGCGGAAGCGUUCGUUAACGCGGUUGAUGUAGUCGAACGUCUUCACGAUCCAACCGAUCCAAGUACCGAACGUACGGCACCUCCGUGUUCGGCACACGUUCAGCACGAUGACGUCCCUCAAACUCUUGAUCCAGUAGAGGGUCGAGGGAGAGUUCCGUCAGCACGCCGGCGUGGCAACGGUGUUGAUGAUAUGAUCCGUGCAGGGCUUCACCUAAGCACUACGACGCAAUGACCGGAGGAGUAAACAGCGGAAGGGGGCACAACACACGGCUAAGAGAAAUCUGGGUGUGCCUCUGGGGUGCCCCCUGGCCACGUAUAUAAAGGAGGGGGAGGAGGAGUCCGGCAGCCAAGGAGGCGCGCCAAGGGGGAGAGUCCUACUUGGACUCCUAGUCCAAGUAGGAUUCUCCCCCCUCCUUCCAAUCAACGGAGAGGGGAAAGGGGAAGGGAGAGAGGAAGAAGGAAAGAUGGGGGCCGCGCCCCCUCCCCUUGUCCAAUUCGGAUUGGGGCAAGGGAAGGGCACCUCCCGUGGCCUCCCUCCUUGUCGGUGUCAAAACCGGCGGAUCUUGGGUAGGGGGUCCCGAACUGUGCGUCUAAGACUAAUGGUAACAGGAGGCAGGGGACACGAUGUUUUACCCAGGUUCGGGCCCUCUCGAUGGAGGUAAUACCCUACUUCCUGCUUGAUUGAUCUUGAUGCUAUGAGUAUUACAAGAGUUGAUCUACCAUGAGAUUGUAGAGGCUAAACCCUAGAAGCUAGCCUAUGACUAUGAUUGUUCUUGUCCUGCGCACUAAACCCUCCGGUUUAUAUAGACACCGGAGGAGGCUAGGGUUACACAGAGUCGGUUACAAAGAAGGAGAUCUAACAUCCGAAUCGCCAAGCUUGCCUUCCACGCAAAGGAGAGUCCAAUCGAACAUGGGACGAAGUCUUCAAUCUUGUGUCUUCAUAGUCCAACAGUCCUGCCAAAGUAUAUAGUCCGGCUGUCCGGAUACCCCCUAAUCCAGGACUCCCUCAGUAGCCCCUGAACCACGCUUCAAUGACGACGAGUCCGGCGCGCAGAUUGUCUUCGGCAUUGCAAGGCGGGUUCCAUCUCCGAAUACUCUGUAGAAGAUUUUGAACACAAGGAUCGUGUCUGGCUCUGCAAAAUAAUUUCCACAUACCACCGUAGAGAGCACAAUACUUUACAAAUCUAAUCUGCUGACAAUUUUCACAACGUGUCCUCACGCCGCGGCCCGGUUUAAUACAAACCGUUUUUCUCAGCCUGUCAUGACACGCACUGCAAGGCGGUUUUAUUGGCACGUCUUGUCGAAGCAGAGAUCGUGUCCCCCUUAUCGCGGGAUUCUCAUCAAUACGGGUGCGGGUAAUCCAACCACGCCUGUUGGCAUGACUCCUUGUUUUUAGGCAAGCCCCAAACGGUUACGCCGAGGACGCUUGAUAUUCACCCUCUUUAUAGACGGGUCGAGGCCUAUCCCUUUCUCCCCAUGCUCGCGCCUUUCCGCAUCUCGAGUUCCAACACCCGAAGCUCAAGCUUAAGCACUUUAGAUCUUCAAUCAUGUCCGGAUCCAACCUUCAAGGCCGGUGGAUGGCCUCCUCUGUCACAGAGGAGGACAUUGCGAAGCUCAGGGAGGCCAGAUAUGUGACCGCCGAUGUCAAGCACAGGCUUCCUGCUCCAGGGCAGGUCAUCCCCACUCCCGAACCCAACGAGAGUGUUGUAUUUGUUUCCCACUUCCUCUGAGGCUUAGGCUUUAGUCUUGAUCCCUUCGUGAGAGGGCUCAUGUUCUAUUACGGGCUAGAUUUCCACGAUCUAGCUCCGAAUUCCAUCCUCCACAUCUCGUCGUUUAUCGUCGUGUGCGAAGCCUUCCUCCACAUCACCCCACACUUCGGCUUAUGGCUCAAGACCUUUAAUGUAAAGCCGAAGGUGAUCGAGGGGCGACACGCGGAGUGCGGAGGCGCUGCAAUAAGCAGAAACGCCGAUGCCCCAUGGCCAGAGGGUUCCUUCCCGGAGGUGUCCGAUUUAUGGCAACGGAGGUGGUUCUACAUCACAGCUCCCCGAGGCACAAAGUGGGCGGCUGCCCCCGCCUUUCGCUCGGGCCCUCCGCCUCAACUGGCGUCGUGGGCCAACGUGGACUAGACUGGGGGGCUGCUAAUGACGUACCGACAUUGUAGAGCCGUAUUCAGGAGCUUCUUAAGGGGGAUAUCAGUCAUGUCAGAAUAAUUCAAGUAAUGCUAGUUCGGCGGGCUCUGCCGUGCAAAGUCGACCUCUCCGGAUGUGGGAGUUCAACCCAGAAGGUCCGUGAACUAUUUAGCACUUCUUCGGCAUGGCACUCGAAGGAAUGUAUAGGUUAUUCUUCGGACCACGAGUAGAGUGUCCAGACACCACCGAGGAUGCGGGCCUGAGCUGCAACCGCCCAGAUACCAAAGUAAGUAACCCUGUAACCGAACACUUCGUUUAUAUUUAUCACAACACUAUUCUGAAAACUAUCUGUGACCAGGAUUGGCUCAGCAAGGCGGAGAGGAUCAGGUGUCCGGCCCCACUUCCCGAAGGCUCGCCUAAUCCUGCGAUAGCGAGGAUGCUUAGACAUGCGCUAAGUCAAGUGCCCUCGGGGAAAGACGAAUGGAAGAAUAGAGAAGCCGAGCUUCACACACAUUGCACAUCCAAACCGGGGGAAUUACUGUCUCCACAUACGAGGAUAAUCGGGGAGGUGAAUCUAAGGUUUCCUCCCCCCGCGGGAAGAAAAGGGCCGCCUCCGAAGACUUGGAAACGGAGGUGCCUAAACAAGGGAAGAAAACUUCACCAGGGGGCCCUGCCCCGGAGGGCGUCCUCACCGCACCAUGCCCGCAAACGGGCCAGCCCUCCACCGAGAUGUAAGUUAUUUUAAAUAAAAAGAUAUUGCUUCCUCCUCUGAGAACAAUAACCAGGAUCUAUCCUUCACAGUCCGGCUAGUAGCUCUUCUCAACAGAGUUUGUCUUCGGGGGAUCUUCUUCCAGCGAUGAUGGAGAGUGAAACCCCACCUGCCUCUCCUCCCCAUGGGGCGGGCGACCCUGAGGUGUCGUCAUAGAGGAUUCCAUAUCCGUCGAGGCCGGAAGCUAACACUUCGGCCACCCGGAGCCCGGAGUGUUUGGCUCCCACGGAGGGCAAUAGGAAGGGUCCGGGACAGUCCGACGCCCGGUCGGACACACCGACGGGCCUUCUGGAGCAAGCUGCUCUCUCAGAGGAUCACCGUGCGUUAAUGGGUACGGUGUUUGAGAAGAUUUCAUCCGCCACAAGCGGCUUGAAUGAAGCUUUCACGAGCCUGCUCAAAGGCAUUGAGGUACGCAAUGAAACAUGUAAUUUGUUGGUUGUACCGCACAUGCUAGGUAUGCUCCAUAUAGAUAGUAGCCCCUGAGACUCUGGUUGCCAGCCCUAGGUGGCAAACGGAGGAUCACACUCCCAAGUAAUGAUCGCACUCCAUUCAUGCACAUGUGGCUAAGGGUCCGGUUGUAGACCGGACUGCUGAAUUCGCCGAACUGAGGCGACAAAUUGAUGUAGUGGACACCGAUAUCAUGCUUGUAAACAAGCGGUUUGACGAGUCACAGAGUAUGUGCUCUUUUUUCCUCAUAUGUUUAUGAAAUAUUAAGAGGAGCAUAAUGUUAAUAUGAUAUGCUUUGGCUGCAGGAGGAUCUGCUACCGUGGAGGCCCUGAGGGCGGAACUUGCCCUAGCCAAGGAACAAGCCUAGGCUAGCAAUGCGGCUGCCCUAAAGGCGAUCGAAGAUUUAAGAGCCGAACAGGCUGCUCAUCACCGAAGCGAAGAUAAAAUAGCCGAAAUGGCUGUGGAGCUGAGGGACGCCGCAGGCCGGUAUGAGCUCCUUGAAAAGGAGAGUCAGGCAAAGUCGGCUGACCUGAAGAAGGCCCUGGAUGCGGCCAAGGAGACAUGCUCUGAAAUUAGAGCUGCGCAGGAGAAGCUUCGACAGGCCGGAGACAUCACGGUUGGAAGCCCCUAUUUGUUGCGGAUGAAGUUCAGAGAUCCAAAGUACGCUCCUCUAGAUCAGUCUUGGAGCGCUGCAGACGCGUAUGCGGAUCUGGCAAAAAGUACGGCUGAUGUGGCCAAGUUCUUCAAGGAUCAAAAAGAUAAUGAAAUAGAGAGGCUGUUCUGGUUGCAAUUCAGUGCUCCAACGCGCCCGCUGCCAUUGAGUCAGAGGAUGGCCGCUAUGGCCGAGCUACAUAGGUUGUCUGGUCUUGCAAUGAGGUUUGUAAUAGACCAUCUAUGGCCUAAGGGACCAAGGCCGGGCAUUUAUUUUGGUUUAGUGGAACAAUUCCUUGGCGCUGUAUCAUGAAUCGAUGCCAUGAAGAGGUCGGCGUGCAUAGAGGGUGCGCGGAUGGCUCUUGCCCGUGUUAAGACAUAUUGGGCGGAUAUGGAGGCCACCAGCAUUGCAACCCGGAGUCCGGCGGGAAGCCAGGACCCAGCCGGGCACUAUUUUGAGCAGGUCAUAGAAGGUGCCCCUUUUAUAGAGGCUCAAUGCUCGAAGAGUGUCAUGUUCGAGUGACAAGUCGUUCAAUUGUAAAAACAAUUCUAUUUUAAUUAUAAAGGCUGUGUUUAUACUUCCGCCCGAAAGUGUUAUAGUGCCUCCUGUGCGGCCGUUUAUGUAUGUAUAUAACCUAAAAGUUAGCAGUCGUUGGCUUCACCCCCACGCAUAUAAUGCGGGGGUGUUCGGGAAAAUGUGCGUAAUCACACUUGAUCCAACGUCUUGGUCCAUUAAGGAGGUGAUCGCACGUCGAACUAGGCACCGGAUUAUAUAGCUUUAACACUUUCACUUAGCCAUAAGAGUUUGACGGUAGGGCUACUAUGUAGCCCCUAGUACCUCCGCGUGCAUCCGGAUAGGGGCGCGUAUGUACAUGACCGGGAAACGGUUCUUCGUUAAUGCGGAGGAAUCCUGAAGAUUCCGAUGAGUCCUCGAGUGGUUGACCAGUCUCUCGUUGUAUCAUGACAGUCAGUUUUCGGCUUUCUCUACUGAGGUGCUCAUCCAGAAUAACCAGGGCACAAUCGCAGUAGUUCUCCUUUGGCCGCCUUAGCCGAUAGAACGGAACAUAAGGCAGCAAACCCAGGAGCCGGGCAAACCCAACAUUUGACCAAAGACAUGAUUCGGAGCUGAUGCAUAUAAGGCCAAACUCGCGACGCCGAACACUCCCGAAGGUAUUCGGACUUUGUAACAUAUACUGGGCUGAGUAACGCCCUCAAUUAUGAACCCUGUAUUUCUAGGUACGUGCGUUAAUCUGUCGUGGCGAAAUGCCAAUAACGCCAGUAUCCCCUGUGGGUGUAUUGAAUACCCGUGGGAUGUCGAGCAACAAGAGAGGGUAAAGAAGGUUUACACAGGGGCUUAAUCUAAAGAGAAACCUUUGAGCGGGGCCUUGCUGCACGUCUGCGCCUUUGUCUCGUUGUGCCGUAUCCUGGAAGGGUGUUGCACGACUGGUGUAUGUAAAAAGGAAAACUUAUGUAAAAGAGUAUAAGCAUGCGAAAAGUUGGUUAUUCUCAAUGGAUAGUAGAAAUGUGAGAUAUUGGUAUAUUAAUAAGGUCAAGCCGAAUUGUGGGCUUUGUUACAUGUUUGCAGCCCUUGGUACCAUCUAUGGGGGUACAUGUAUAGCACCCAGCUCAGGUUUAUCUGGGCUAUUACCGAGGGUGGUGCACCGGACUCGUCUACCUGUGUCCGUGGUCUUAACGACUGAUCAUGCAUUCUGGUAGGAGAGGCCGCUUAGUGUCCGGCUGCUAGAGCCGCCACAUACUCUUCCGCACGUAAGGAAUGCUCUGUGUUUCCGCUAACAGUGAUGACGCCACGCGGACCGGGCAUCUUCAGUUUAAGGUAGGCGUAGUGCGGUACUGCGUUGAAGCGAGCGAAGACCGUUCUUUCGGGUAAUGCAUGAUAACCGCUUCGGAAGGGAGCGAUGUCGAAGAGUAAUUCUUUGCUUUUUAAGUUGUCGGGAGAACCAAAUGUCACCUCUAAUACGAGGGAGCCCCUGCAGCGGGCCUCAAUGCCUUGUAUCACUCCUUUAAAGGUGGUGUUACUUUGGCUUAUUCUUGAUGGGUCGAUCCCCAUCUUGCAGACGGUGUCCUGAUAUAUCAGAUUAAGACUACUACCGCUGUCCAUGAGGACUCGAGUGAGAUGGUAUCCAUCGAUUUUUGGGUCGAGCACCAAGGCAGCCGAUUCUCCGUGCCGGAUACUAGUCGGGUGGUCCCUAUGGUCAAAGGUGAUCAGACAGGCCGACCAGGGGUUGAAUUUGGGGGUGACGGGAUCUACGGCAUAUACGUCUCUGAGCGCGCGUUUGCGCCUUCUCUUUGGUAUAUGAGUCGCAUAGAUCAUGUUUACUGUUUUGACUUCUGGUGGGAAUUUUCUGUCCCCCAGUGUUCGGCUGGCGAGGCUCAUCCUCGUCUUCACUUGGUGUUUCCCUUCCCUUGUGUUCAACAUUUAACUUGCCGGCCUGCUUGAAGACCCAGCAUUCUCUAUGAGUGUGAUUCGCAGGUUUUUUGGGGGUGCCAUGAAUUUGGCACAAUCUGUCCAGGACUUUGUUCAGGCUGGACGGUCCUUCUUUACUUCCUUUAAAUGGCUUCUUUCUUUGACCGGGUCGAGAGCCCCUGAAUCCGAUGUUGACUGCCGUGUUGUCCGGACUUUCUUCCUUGUUUCGACGCUUGUUUUUAUUGCGCCGUGGCUUCCCGUUGCCAUCCCUAAUUUCGUAUGUGCCUGGGUCACUGGUGCCUCUACGGGCCAACCAGCUGUACUCACCCGCGCAAAAGCGGGCCAUAAGGCUUGUUAAGGGCGCCAUUGUUCUUGGCUUUUCUUGGCCGAGGUGUUUGGCAAGCCAUUCGUCCCGGAUACUGUGCUUGAAGGCCGCUAGGGCUUCGGCAUCCGGACAAGCAACAAUUUGAUUCUUCUUAGUGAGAAAUCUGUUCCAAAGCUUACGGGCUGACUCUACGGGCUGUUGUAUUAUGUGACUUAAAUUGUCUGCAUCCGGAGGUCGGACAUAUGUCCCUUGAAAAUUGGACCUGAAAGCGUCCUCAAGUUCCUCCCAACUUCAGAUUGAAUUUUCGGGGAGGCUUUUCAACCAAUGCCGGGCUGGCCCUUUCAACUUGAGGGGAAGGUAUUUGAUGGUGUGGAGGUCAUCCCCACGAGCCAUGUGGAUAUGAAGGAUAAAAUCCUCAAUCCAGACCCUAGGGUCUAUCGUUCCGUCAUAUGCCUCUAUGUUCAUGGGUUUGAAUCCCUGUGGAAAUUCAUGAUCCAGCACCUCGUCGGUGAAGCACAGAGGGUGCACAGCCCCUCUGUAUUUGGACAUGUCGUGGCUUGCUAUUGACUGUUGUUGUGUUCGGUGUUGAUUCUGAACUGGUAUUCGAUCAGUGUGAUCGUUUUGGUGACCAUAAUCCCGCGCGGAGCAUGUCCUCUAGAUCCAUAGAUGGACCUUGUCGCACCGGCCUUUUUGUCUAGGAGCUCACGUAAAUUGUGUGCUGGAUUGUGUGCGGUGUCGGUAGCUACUCUAUCGCGGCCAUGAAGUGGUUGGUCCGGCUGAUUGGCCGUAUUGUUCUUCGGCGGAAUGGGCUCUAUGGCCUCAUCGUCGAAUUCGGGCAGCAGCUUGCGCUUUGGGUAGCUCUUUGUGUGGCGAUCGUCGCCCUAUUUUUCUUCAGUGUCUAGCACUUUAUUCCAUCUGCGGCUGAGCAUAUCCUGCGCGGCCUUAAGCCUUUGCUUCUGCUUCUUUAGGCUCCUCGCAGUGGCCAUAAGCCUUCUGUGGAGGUUAUCUUGUUCCAAAUGUUUUUCCGGAAUGAUGAAUGCAUCAUCGUCCGGACUGUCCUCCUCUGUGGAGGCAGGUUGAUGAGUUCGACCCUCGGGAUCGCUGUGAUCAGGCGUCUGCUCUGGGAUGUGUUUGGCGUGACCUGGCUCAUCCUGCUCCAUCGCUGGGUCCAUAUGGUCGUUGUUGCCUUUGGAGUUGACCGAGGUGUCGAUUUUUCUUGCGCUGUUAUCGCUAUUUUUACUGUGGCUGGACUUAGAGCGGCGCCUGCGCCGUCGUUUUGGCUUUUGUUCGGGGGAUCUAUCCUCCGUUGUGUCCUUUUUGUCGCCGUUGUCCUCCUUAGGCGUGUCCACCAUGUAUAUAUCAUAUGAUGAGCUGGCAGUCCAGCGCCCCGUGGGCAGUGUUUCCAGAUCAUCCCCUGCAUCGACGUCCAUACCGUCGAUGUCGUCGGAGUCGAAGUCAAGCAUGUCUGUUAGGUCAUCGAUAGUGGCUAUUAAGUGGGUGGUGGGUGGGCCGCGAUUUUCUUCGUCGUCCGUAACCCACUCGAGCCAGACCUAGUUCGGCCAAGAGUUUUCUGACAAAGAGAGAGACCUUAAAGAGUUUAGCAUGUCACCAAAGGAAGAGCGCUGAAAGAUAUCCGUGGCGAUGAACUCCAUUAUUGGUGCCCAAUCAGCUUCGAUGGGCACGGAUGUGUGCGGUCCGGGACCCACGGCCGGAAACAAGUCCGGGGGUCCGGCGACACAGAUUUCCUUAGAGGUGGAGUAUGUGUUCGGCCCCAAUGCCGAUGAGUAUGCGGCCUCCGUGGCGGGGUCCCUCCCCCUGUCCUCGGACGACGCGAUCUGCUUUGGAUUUAGGUCCGGAGCUGCUGCGGGUUUGAUAUCCUGAAUACUAUCCGACAACAGAUCUAAUUCGUGCUCGUCGCGACCAUUCGGCGCUCCUGACGUAGGCCCGAAUCCGUCGAAGAUCAAGUCUCCACGGAUGUCGGCUGUGUAAUUCAAGUUUCCGAGUCUGACCUGAUGGCCAGGGGCAUAGCUGUCGAUCUGCUCCAGAUGGCCAAACGAAUUGGCCCGCAAUGCGGAGCCGCCGAAUACGAAGAUCUGUCCGGGGAGAAAAGUCUCACCCUGGACCACAUUGUUGUUGAUUGAAGGAUCCAUCGAGCCUUACAGCGACAACACAGAGGAACUCUUAAUGAAAGCACCAAUGUCAGUGUCAAAACUGGCGGAUCUCGGGUAGGGGGUCCCGAACUGUGCGUCUAAGGCUAAUGCUAACAGGAGGCAGGGGACACAAUGUUUUACCCAGGUUCGGGCCCUCUCGAUGGAGGUAAUACCCUACUUCCUGCUUGAUUGAUCUUGAUGAUAUGAGUAUUACAAGAGUUGAUCUACCACGAGAUCGUAGAGGCUAAACCCUAGAAGCUAGCCUAUGAUUAUGAUUGUUCUUGUCCUACGGACUAAACCCUCCGGUUUAUAUAGACACCGGAGGAGGCUAGGGUUACAUAGAGUUGGUUACAAAGAAGGAGAUCUAACAUGCGGUUCUUGUCCUACGGACUAAACCUUCCACGCAAAGGAGAGUCCAAUCCGGACAUGGGACAAAGUCUUCAAUCUUGUGUCUUCAUAGUCCAACAGUCCGACCAAAGUAUAUAGUCCGGCUGUCCGGAUACCUCCUAAUCCAGGACUCCCUCACUCCUCCCCUCCACUAUGGCCCAAUAGGCCCAAUAACUUUCUCAGGGGGGUUCCGGUUGUUGGGGAACAUAGCAAUUCAAAAAAAAAAUCCUACGAUCACGCAAGAUCUAUAUGGAUAGCAACGAGACGGGAAAGUGUAUCCACGUACCCUCGUAGACCGAAAGUGGAAGCGUUUAGUAACGCGGAUGAUGUAGUCGAACGUCUUCACGAUCCAACCGAUCCAUGUAUCGAACGUACGGCACCUACGUGUUCAGCACACGUUCAGCACAAUGACGUCCCUCGAGCUCUUGAUCCAGUUGAGGACGAGGGAGAGUUCCGUCAGCACGACGGCAUGGCGACGGUGUUGAUGAUGUUACCGGCGCAAGGCUUCGCCUAAGCACUACGACGAUAUGAAUGAGGUGUUAAACUAUGGAGGGGCACCGCACACGGCUAAGAGAUUGUCUGUUGUCCUUUAGGGUGCCCCCUGCCCCCGUAUAUAAAGAAGGGAGGAGGAGGAGGCCGGCCAAGGAGGGGCGCCCCUAUAGGGGGAGUCCAACUAGGAUUCCCAAUCCUAGUUGGAGUCCCCUUCCUUUUCGAAGAGAGUGAGAGAGGGAAAGAGGUGGAGGAGAGAGAAGAAAGGGGGGCCGCCCCCUCCCCUAGUCCAAUUUGGUUUGGGCUAUGGGGGUGCGCGCCUCCACCUGGCCGCUGCCUCCUCUCUUCCACUAGGGCCCAUGAAUGCCCAUUAAUCCCCCGGGGGUUCCGAUUACCUCCAGGUAGUCCGAAAAAUGCCCGAACCAUUGUGAAACCUUUCUGGUGUUCGAACAUGACCUUCCAAUACAUCAAUCUUUAUGUCGCGAACAUUUCGAGACUCCUCAUCAUGUCCGUGAUCUCAUCCAGGACUUCAAAGAAACUUCAGUCAUCAAAAACACAUAACUCAUAAUACAAACCAUCAUCGAACGUUAAGCGUGCGGACCCUACGGGUUCAAGAACUAUGUAGACAUGAUCGAGACAUAACUCCUAUAAAUAACCAAUAGCGAAACCUGGAUGAUCAUAUUGGCUCCUACAUAUUCUACGAAGAUCUUUAUCAGUCAAACCGCAUAAUGAUACGUCUCCAACGUAUCUAUAAUUUAUGAAGUAUUCAUGCUAUUAUAUUAUCUGUUUUGGAUGUUUAAUGGGCUUUAUUAUACACUUUUAUAUUAUUUUUGGGACUAACCUAUUAACCGGAGGCCCAGUCCAAAUUGCUGUUUUUUUUGCCUAUUUUAGUGUUUCGCAGAAAAGGAAUAUCAAACAGAGUCCAAACGGAAUGAAACCUUCGGGAGAGUGAUUUUUAGAACAAACGUGAUCCAGAGGACUUAGAGUGGACGUCAAGAAAGAAGCAAGGAGGCCACAGGCAGGAAGGCGCGCCCCCACCCUCGUGGGCCCCUCGCAGCUCCACCGACCUACUUCUUCCUCCUAUAUAUACCCAUAUACUCUGAAAACAUCGAGGGGCACCAUAGAUCGGGAGUUCCGCCAUUUCAAGCCUCUGUAGCCACCAAAAACCAAUCGGGACCCUGUUCCGGCACCCUACCAGAGGGGGGAUCCAUCACCGGUGGCCAUCUUCAUCAUCCCGAGUGCUCUCCAUGACGAGGAGGGAGUAGUUCACCCUCGUCGCUGAAGGUAUGUACCAGUAGCUAUGUGUUUGGUCUCUCUCUCUCUCUCUCGUGUUAUUGAUUCGACACGAUGUUGAUGUAUCACGAGCUUUGCUAUUAUAGUUGGAUCUUAUGAUGUUUCUCCCCCUCUACUUUCUUGUAAUGGAUUGAGUUUUCCCUUUGAAGUUAUCUUAUCGGAUUGAGUCUUUAAGGAUUUGAGAACACUUGAUGUAUGUUUUGCAUGUGCUUAUCUAUGGUGACAAUGGGAUAUUCACAUGAUCUACUUGAUGUAUGUUUUGGUGAUCAACUUGCAGGUUCAGUGACCUUGUGAACUUAUGCAUAGGGGUUGGCACACGUUUUCGUCUUGACUCUUCGGUAGAAACUUUGGGGCACUCUUUGAAGUACUUUGUGUUGGUUGAAUAGAUGAAUCUGAGAUUGUGUGAUGCAUAUCAUAUAAUCAUGCCCACGGAUACUUGAGGUGACAUUGGAGUAUCUAGGUGACAUUAGGGUUUUGGUUGAUUUGUGUCUUAAGGUGUUAUUCUAGUACAAACUCUAUGAUAGAUCGAACGGAAAGAAUAGCUUCGUGUUAUUUUACUACGGACCCUUGAAUAGAUCGAUCAGAAAGGAUAACUUUGAGGUGGUUUCAUACCCUACAAUAAUCUCUUCGUUUGUUCUCCGCUACUAGUGACUUUGGAGUGACUCUUUAUUUCAUGUUGAGGGAUAGUUAUAUGAUCCAGUUAUGUUAUUAUUGUUGAGAGAACUUGCACUAGUGAAAGUAUGAACCCUAGGCCUUGUUUCCUAGCAUUACAAUACCGUUUAUGCUCCCUUUUAUCAUUAGUUACCUUGCUGUUUUUAUAUUUUCAGAUUACAAAAACCUAUAUCUACCAUCCAUCUUGCACUUGUAUCACCAUCUCUUCGCCGAACUAGUGCACCUAUACAAUUUACCAUUGUAUUGGGUGUGUUGGGGACACAAGAGACUCUUUGUUAUUUGGUUGUGGGGUUAUUUGAGAGAGACCAUCUUCAUCCUACACCUCCCAUAGAUUGAUAAACCUUAGGUCAUCCACUUUAGGGAAAUUUGCUAUUGUCCUACAAACCUCUGCACUUGGUGGCCCAACAACGUCUACAAGGAGAAGGUUGCAUAGUAGACAUCACAUAACAACAUACGUUGUUCCCUUUGUCAUAGGUAUGUUACUUGCCUGAGAUUCGAUCGUCGGUAUCGUCAUACCUAGUUUCAUCUUGUUACCAGCAAGUCUCUUUACUCGUUCCGUAAUGCUUCAUCCCGCAACUAACUCAUUAGUCACAUUGCUUGCAAGGCUUAUAGUGAUGAGCAUUACCGAUAGGGCCCAUAGAUACCUCUCCGAAACACGGAGUGACGAAUCCUAAUCUCGAUCUAUGCCAACCCAACAAACACCUUCGGAGACACCUGUAGAGCAUCUUUAUAAUCACCCAGUUACAUUGUGACAUUUGAUAGUACACUAGGUGUUCCUCCGGUAUUAGAGAGUUGCAUAACCUCAUAGUCUGAGGAACAUGUAUAAGUCAUGAAGAAAGCAGUAGCAAUGAAACUGAAACAAUCAGAAUGCUAAGCUAACGGAUGGGUCAGGUCCAUCACAUCAUUCUCCUAAUGAUGUGAUCCCAUUCAUCAAAUGAUAACACAUGUCUAUGGUUAGCAAACAUAAUCAUCUUUUAUUAACGAGCUAGUCAAGUAGAGGCAUACUAGGGACACUUUGUUUUGUCUAUGCAUUCACACAUGUACUAAGUUUCUGGUUAAUACAAUUGUAGCAUGAAUAAUAAACAUUUAUCAUGAUAUAAGGAAAUAUAAAUAACAACUUUAUUAUUGCCUCUAGGGCAUAUUUCCUUCAGUCUCCCACUUGCACUAGAGUCAACAAUCUAGAUCCCAUCGCCAUGUAAUUUAACACCAAUAGUUCACAUCUGUAUGUGAUUAACACCCAUAGUUCACAUCGCCAUGUGACACCCAAAGGGUUUACUAGAGUCAAUAAUCUAGUUCACAUCGCUAUGUGAUUAACACCCAAAGAGUACUAAGGUGUGAUCAUGUUUUGCUUGUGAGAGAAGUUUAGUCAGCGGGUCUGUCACAUUCAGAGCCGUAUGUAUUUUGCAAAUAAUCUAUGUCUACAAUGCUUUGCAUGGAGCUACUCUAGCUAAUUGCUCUCACUCUCAAUAUGUAUCCAGAUUGAGACUUAGAGUCAUCUGGAUUGAUGUAAAAGCUUGCAUCGACGUAACUCUUUAUGACGAACUCUUUUAUCACCUCCAUAACCGAGAAAUAUUUCCUUAGUCCUCUUAGGUAACUAAAGAUAACUUUGACCGCUAUACAGUGAUCCACUCCUGGAUCACUAUCGUAGCCCCUUGCCAAACUCAUAGCAAGGCACACAACUGGUCUGGUACAUACAUGGCAUACUUUAUAGAACCUAUGACUGAGGCCUAGGGAAUGACUUUCAUUCUCUUUCUAUCUUCUGCCGUGGUCGGGCUUUGAGUCUUACUCAACUUUACACCUUGUAAUACAGGCAAGAACUCCUUUUUUGACUGAUCCAUUUUGAACUCUUUCAAAAUAUUAUCAAGGUAUGUACUCAUUGAAAAAUCUUAUCAAGCGUCUUGAUCUAUCGCUAUAGAUCUUGAUGCCCAAUAUGUAAGCAGCUUCACUGAGGUCUUUCUUUGAAAAUCUCCUUUCAAACUCUCCUUUAUGCUUUCCAGAAAAUUCUACAUCAUUUCCGAUCAACAAUAUGUCAUUUACAUAUACUUAUCAGAAAGGUUGUAGUGCUCCCACUCACUUUCUUGUAAAUACAGGCUUCACGGCAAGUCUGUAUAAAAUUAUAUGCUUUGAUCAACUCAUCAAAGCGCAUAUUCCAACUCUGAGAUGCUUGCACCAGUCCAUAGAUGGAUCGCUGGAGCUUGCACACCUUGUUAGUACCUUUAGGAUCGACAAAACCUUCUGGUUGCAUCAUAUACAACUCUUCUUUAAGAAAUAUCCAUUUAAGAAAUGCAGUUUUGACAUCCAUUUGCCAAAUUUCAUAAAAAUAGGGCAAUUGCUAACAUGAUUCAGGUGGAUUUAAGCAUCGGUACAGUUGAGAAAAUCUCAUUGUAGUCAACACCUUGAACUUGCUGAAAAUCUUUUGCAACAAGUAGAGAUUUGUAGAUAGUAACACUACUAUCAUCGUCCAUCUUCCUCUUGAAGAUCCAUUUAUUUUCUAUGGCUUGCCGAUCAUCAGGCAAGUCCACCAAAGUCAACAUUUUGUUCUCAUACAUGGAUCCCAUCUCAGAUUUCAUGGCCUCAAGCCAUAUCGCGGAAUCUGGGCUCAUCAUCCUUCCUCAUAGUUCGUAGGUUCAUCAUGGUCUAGUAACAUGACUUCUAGAAUAGGAUUACCGUACCACUCUAGUGCGGACCGUACUCUGGAAGACCUAUGAGGUUCCGUAGUAACUUGAUCUAAAGUUUUAUGAUCAUCAUCAUUAGCUUCUUCACUAAUUGGUGUAGGAAUCACUGGAACUGAUUUCUGUGAUGAACUACUUUCCAAUUCGGGAGAAGGUACAAUUACCUCAUCAAGUUCUACUUUCCUCCCACUCACUUCUUUUGAGAGAAACUCCUUCUCUAGAAAGUUUCCAUUCUUAGCAAAAAAAAA